GACAGAGGGUGCAAACGUUGUUCGGAAUUACUGGGCGUAAAGCGUAUGCAGGCGGACUUUUAAGUCGGGGGUGAAAUCCCGAGGCUCAACCUCGGAACUGCCUUCGAUACUGGAAGUCUUGAGUCCGGGAGAGGUGAGUGGAACUGCGAGUGUAGAGGUGAAAUUCGUAGAUAUUCGCAAGAACACCAGUGGCGAAGGCGGCUCACUGGCCCGGUACUGACGCUGAGGUGCGAAAGCGUGGGGAGCAAACAGG
rnacentral:rRNA from 1 species